rnacentral:rRNA from 1 species
AGGACGAACGCUGGCGGCGUGCUUCACACAUGCAAGUCGAACGGGGCUCAUUCGGUGGUAACACCGGAGAAGGCCUAAUGGCGAACGGGUGCGUAACACGUGAAGAACCUGCCCCGAAGACUGGGAUAACAGCGGGAAACCGCUGCUAAUACCGGAUGACCCCACCAGGCCGCAUGGCCAGGUGAGGAAAUGGGCCUACCGCUUCGGGAGGGCUUCGCGGCCUAUCAGCUUGUUGGUGGGGUAACGGCCUACCAAGGCUACGACGGGUAGCUGGUCUGAGAGGACGACCAGCCACACUGGGACUGAGACACGGCCCAGACUCCUACGGGAGGCAGCAGUGGGGAAUCUUGCGCAAUGGGCGAAAAGCCUGACGCAGCAACGCCGCGUGAGGGAUGAAGGUCUUCGGGUUGUAAACCUCUUUCGAGCAGGGACGAUUGUGACGGUACUGCAGAAGAAGCUCCGGCCAACUACGUGCCAGCAGCCGC